GAGGGAAUAGCUCUGUGGUGGAGCACGUGCUUGGCGUGCACGAGGUCCUGGGUUCGAUCCCCAGUGCCUCUG
rnacentral:tRNA from 1 species